AGAGUUUGAUCCUGGCUCAGGAUGAACGCUAGCGGCAGGCCUAACACAUGCAAGUCGAGGGGUAGACAUCUUCGGAUGUUGAGACCGGCGCACGGGUGCGUAACGCGUGUGCAAUCUACCUUAUACUAAGGGAUAGCCCAGAGAAAUUUGGAUUAAUACCUUAUAGUUAAUUGAAAAGGCAUCUUUUUAAUUAUAAAGAUUCAUUGGUAUAAGAUGAGCAUGCGUCCCAUUAGUUAGUUGGUAAGGUAACGGCUUACCAAGACGAUGAUGGGUAGGGGUCCUGAGAGGGAGAUCCCCCACACUGGUACUGAGACACGGACCAGACUCCUACGGGAGGCAGCAGUGAGGAAUAUUGGUCAAUGGGCGCAAGCCUGAACCAGCCAUGCCGCGUGCAGGAUGAAGCAUCUAUGGUGUGUAAACUGCUUUUGUACGGGAAGAAAAAACAUUACGUGUAAUGUACUGACGGUACCGUAAGAAUAAGGAUCGGCUAACUCCGUGCCAGCAGCCGCGGUAAUACGGAGGAUCCAAGCGUUAUCCGGAAUCAUUGGGUUUAAAGGGUCCGUAGGCGGCCUUAUAAGUCAGUGGUGAAAGUUUUUGGCUUAACCAAAAAAUUGCCAUUGAUACUGUAGGGCUUGAAUUAUUGUGAAGUAACUAGAAUAUGUAGUGUAGCGGUGAAAUGCUUAGAUAUUACAUGGAAUACCAAUUGCGAAGGCAGGUUACUAACAAUGGAUUGGCGCUGAUGGACGAAAGCGUGGGUAGCGAACAGGAUUAGAUACCCUGGUAGUCCACGCCGUAAACGAUGGAUACUAGCUGUUUGGAAGAAAUUCUGAGUGGCUAAGCGAAAGUGAUAAGUAUCCCACCUGGGGAGUACGGGCGCAAGCCUGCCACUCGAGG
rnacentral:rRNA from 1 species